UCGAACGGGGAUAUAUUGGAAUGAGGAUUCGUCUGAAGGAAAAUGUAUCUUAGUGGCGGACGGGUGAGUAACGCGUGGGCGACCUACCGUAUACAGGGGGAUAACACUUAGAAAUAGGUGCUAAUACCGCAUAAGCGCACAGCAGUGCAUACUGGAGUGUGAAAAGCCGAGACGGUAUACGAUGGGCCCGCGUCUGAUUAGCCAGUUGGCAGGGUAACGGCCUACCAAAGCGACGAUCAGUAGCCGGCCUGAGAGGGCGGACGGCCACAUUGGGACUGAGACACGGCCCAGACUCCUACGGGAGGCAGCAGUGGGGGAUAUUGCACAAUGGGGGGAACCCUGAUGCAGCGACGCCGCGUGAGUGAAGAAGUAAUUCGUUAUGUAAAGCUCUAUCAGCAGGGAAGAAUAGAUGACGGUACCUGAGUAAGAAGCCCCGGCUAACUACGUGCCAGCAGCCGCGGUAAUACGUAGGGGGCAAGCGUUAUCCGGAUUUACUGGGUGUAAAGGGAGCGUAGACGGCGAUGCAAGCCAGAUGUGAAAGCCCGCGGCUCAACUGCGGUAGUGCAUUUGGAACUGUAUGGCUGGAGUGCAGGAGAGGCAGGCGGAAUUCCUAGUGUAGCGGUGAAAUGCGUAGAUUUUUUGGGGAACACCAGNUGGCGAAGGCGGCCUGCUGGACUGUAACUGACGUUGAGGCUCGAAA
rnacentral:rRNA from 1 species